AUGCAGCAGNAGGGAAUCUUCGGCAAUGGACGAAAGUCUGACCGAGCAACGCCGCGUGAGUNAAGAAGGUUUUCGGAUCGUAAAACUCUGUUGGUAGAGAAGAACGUUGGUGAGAGUGGAAAGCUCAUCAAGNNACGGNAACUACCCAGAAAGGGACGGCUAACUACGUGCCAGCAGCCGCGGUNAUACGUAGGUCCCGAGCGUUGUCCGGAUUUAUUGGGCGUAAAGCGAGCGCAGGUGGUUUAUNNAGUCUGGUGUAAAAGGCAGUGGCUCAACCAUUGUAUGCAUUGGAAACUGGUAGACUUGAGUGCAGGAGAGGAGAGUGGAAUUCCAUGUGUAGCGGUGAAAUGCGUAGAUAUAUGGAGGAACACCGGUGGCGAAAGCGGCUCUCUGGCCUGUAACUGNCACUNAGGCUCGAAAGCGUGGGGAGCAAACAGGAUUAGAUACCCUGGUAGUCCACGCCGUAAACGAUNNGUGCUAGAUGUAGGGAGCUAUUAG
rnacentral:rRNA from 1 species